UACGUAGGGGGCAAGCGUUGUCCGGAUUUAUUGGGCGUAAAGGGCAGGUAGGUGGUCUUAAAAGUCUACUGUGAAAUCCCUGGGCUUAACCCAGGAAGUGCGGUGGAUACUCUAAGACUUGAGUGCCGGAGGGGUGCGUGGAAUUCCGAGUGUAGCGGUGAAAUGCGUAGAUAUUCGGAGGAACACCAGAGGCGAAAGCGGCGCACUGGACGGCAACUGACACUCAACUGCGAAAGCGUGGGGAGCAAACAGG
rnacentral:rRNA from 1 species